UACAGAGGGUGCAAGCGUUGUUCGGAAUUAUUGGGCGUAAAGCGCGUGUAGGCGGCUUUGCAAGUCGGGUGUGAAAGCCCUCAGCUUAACUGAGGAAGUGCGCCCGAAACUGCAGAGCUUGAGUACUGGAGAGGAUGGCGGAAUUCCCCAAGUAGAGGUGAAAUUCGUAGAUAUGGGGAGGAACACCGGUGGCGAAGGCGGCCAUCUGGACAGAUACUGACGCUGAGACGCGAAAGCGUGGGGAGCGAACGGG
rnacentral:rRNA from 1 species